rnacentral:misc_RNA from 1 species
CCUAUUUGGUCUUGCUCCGCGUGGGGUUUUCCCUGCCGGCAGAAUUACUCCUGCCGCGGUGCGCUCUUACCGCACCAUUUCACCCUUACCGCGCCCGAAGGCGAGGCGGUAUAUUUUCUGUGGCACUAUCCGUCGGACCUUACGAUCCGCCCGGCCGUUAGCCGGCACGCUGCCCUAUGGAGACCGGACUUUCCUC